rnacentral:rRNA from 1 species
AUUGAACGCUGGCGGCAGGCCUAACACAUGCAAGUCGAGCGAGCGGCGGACGUGUGAGUAAUGUAUGUGGAUCUGCCCGAUAGAGGGGGAUAACUACUGGAAACGGUGGCUAAUACCGCAUACGAUCGGAUCAAUCCAGAUGGGAUUAGCUAGUGGGUGGGGUAAAGGCUCACCAAGGCGACGAUCUCUAGCUGGUCUGAGAGGAUGAUCAGCCACACGGGAACUGAGACACGGCCCAGACUCCUACGGGAGGCAGCAGUGGGGAAUAUUGCACAAUGGGCGAAAGCCUGAUGCAGCCAUGCCGCGUGUGUGAAGAAGGCCUUAGGGUUGUAAAGUACUUUCAGCGGGGAGGCGUUACCCGCAGAAGAAGCACCGGCUAACUCCGUGCCAGCAGCCGCGGUAAUAC